CUCAUCACCCAUGUCUUACUACUCAGCACCAUGCCUUGGCAAAAAAGAUAGCCGAGUUAAAGAAACAACAUCUAAUCGUAUUAGAUUUAAUAAAGGACCUUGGGAUGCCGAUUAAUUCAUGUUGGACAAAACAACGUAAGAAUCAGUUUUGAGAACACGAUUGCCAACGAAACGGAUCUGCUUUUUUUAAAGAGAACUUUCGCAUGAACCGAAGUUCCUUUGAUAAAUUAUGUGACAUCCUCCGCCCGUUACAAAAAAUGGAUACAAAUUACAGAAAAGCUAUUCCUAUCGAGAAAAGAGUGGCUAUAACAUUAUUUGCUUUAGGGUCAUCUGCAGAGUAUCGUAGUAUCGCCAACAUGUUCGGUGUAGGAAAAUCUACGGUUUGCGAAAUUUUACUGGAAUUUUGCACCGAAAUCUGGAGAUUACUGCAGCCAUCCUGUUUUAAAAUGUUGCCUCUAAACAGAGAAAAUAUAACCGAAUUGGUGACUGGUUUCGAGGUAAUUGGAUUCCCACAAUGCUUAGGAGCAAUUGACGGAUGCCACUCUGAGAUUCAUCCAUCAUCUGACGAAGUUGUUGAUUAUUAUAAUUAUAAAGGAUGGUAUUCCACCGUUUUAAUGGCAUUAGUUGAUGCUAAGUAA